AACGAACGCUGGCGGCAGGCCUAACACAUGCAAGUCGAGCGGACCCUUCGGGGUUAGCGGCGGACGGGUGAGUAACGCGUGGGAAUAUGCCCUUCUCUACGGAAUAGUCCUGGGAAACUGGGGGUAAUACCGUAUACGCCCUUUGGGGGAAAGAUUUAUCGGGGAAGGAUUAGCCCGCGUUGGAUUAGGUAGUUGGUGGGGUAAUGGCCUACCAAGCCGACGAUCCAUAGCUGGUUUGAGAGGAUGAUCAGCCACACUGGGACUGAGACACGGCCCAGACUCCUACGAGAAGCAGCAGUGGGGAAUCUUAGACAAUGGGGGCAACCCUGAUCUAGCCAUGCCGCGUGAGUGAUGAAGGCCUUAGGGUUGUAAAGCUCUUUCAGCUGGGAAGAUAAUGACGGUACCAGCAGAAGAAGCCCCGGCUAACUCCGUG
rnacentral:rRNA from 1 species